AUGACAAAGACAGAACAAGAGAACUGCAUGGCAGAUGGCUACAACUAUGUAGGGGGAAAAGAAAACCCUUGAACAAUCUUUACCUAGAAAACAUGUCUGGGGAAAAAAAAUAAUAAACACCCUGCAGAAAUGUCAACCAUGAGUGAGCUGAGUGGGAAGGCUACACACAGGUCAAUACAGCUCAGAAUGGCCUCUUUCCAAACACUUUCCCAGCGCAACCUGAUCCCAAACUAGACACACUCCCAUCGAGGACGAUGAUGAAAACGAUGCCGAAGACAGCAGCCUUCUUACGCAGUCCUCCUGGGCCAGGCCCGGCUCCAUUAACGCGUCCUCGUUUACUUCUCACGGUGACUAUGAGGCAAUCAUUACCUCCGCACAGGCAAAAGAACAGACACAGAAAGGAGGUACCUUGCCCAAAGGCACGUAACCACACUUUCUUGAUUUUCUCCUCUUGCUGCUGCUGGUAAGGAACAGAACCAGGUUUUCUCCCUGCUGCACUUGGCUCUGCGUUACCAGAGACAGGCGGGGUAAAAACCAGGGGCGCCGACGGUGACAGGAAACUUAGCAUUAGGUCAGCCAUGUCAAACCCAUGGUCCGGCAUAGCUCUGAUCAGGGAUUAUGAUUGAAAACUCCCUCCCCUCUCUUAAGCAUCUAUAAAAUAACUAAUUCUCUUAUCCAAACGGCCAGGAGAGACGAGAUGCUCUGAAGGGCUCCGCCUGACCUAAAGGAGUCAUGCAUGCGUUCUCCCUCGCCUCGUCCCUCAGUCUCUGUGCGUUUCUAACCCUCCUCCCAUCCAUGGGCCACAGAAGGCAGGCAUUUGAAGGUGAAAACUUCAAGAGAUCAGCGAGGCAUGGCGGCACCUGCCUAUAACCCCAGCUACUAGGGGGGGCUCAGGCAGGAGGAUCCCAAGUUUCAAGGUAGUGUAGGCAACUCAGGGAGACCUUCUUCACACACACAAAAAAAGAAUCAUGCAUCUAGAGUCACACGCACAGAAACCACAAGAAGUAACAGCGACGAUGGAAGAAGUGGACAUUUAUAAAACAAACUGUUCAAAGAGCAGCAGCUUCUGGGGCAAAAGCAACCGCACAACACACGCUUCAACGGAGCUAGAGAUUCCCAGCCAUGGGGCAAAGGUGGUUAAAUGUUUAGAAGGAAUCAUAGGUGCUGUUUUUAACUAAUUAAAAUUCAUUUUGGCACUUCUA